UACGUAGGGUGCGAGCGUUAAUCGGAAUUACUGGGCGUAAAGCGUGCGCAGGCGGUUUUUUAAGUCGGAUGUGAAAUCCCCGAGCUCAACCUGGGAACUGCGUUUGAAACUACAAGACUAGAGUAGGUCAGAGGGGGGUAGAAUUCCACGUGUAGCAGUGGAAUGCGUAGAGAUGUGGAGGAAUACCAAUGGCGAAGGCAGCCCCCUGGGAUCAUACUGACGCUGAUGCGCGAAAGCGUGGGGAGCAAACAGG
rnacentral:rRNA from 1 species